rnacentral:rRNA from 1 species
UACGUAGGGGGCAAGCGUUGUCCGGAUUUAUUGGGCGUAAAGAGCGUGUAGGCGGCCAGGUAGGUCGGUUGUGAAAACUCGAGGCUCAACCUCGAGAUGUCGACCGAAACCAUCUGGCUAGAGUCCGGAAGAGGAGAAUGGAAUUCCCGGUGUAGCGGUGAAAUGCGCAGAUAUCGGGAAGAACACCCGUGGCGAAGGCGGUUCUCUGGGACGGUACUGACGCUGAGGAGCGAAAGCCAGGGGAGCAAACGGG